rnacentral:lncRNA from 14 species
AAAAGCUGCCAGCACAGAAGCUGCUGAUGAUCAAGAUGGUUCUCAUGAAGCCAGAAUUUCUGGUGCAGAAACAGAAGCAGAUGCUGUGAUGGCUGAGAAAGAAAAUGAGGACUCUUUGGGCAUUUCUGAACAGGCAGAAGAGCAGGUUGCAUUAGAGCCAGUGUUAGCAAAAAAGAAGAGAAAGAAGAAGAAAAAAGAUGAUCUUGAACAGGAAGGGGAGAAACUGGCAGAAGAAAUGGCUGUCUCUCCAAAAAUUGCUGAAGAAGGGAAGUCCUCUAAGAAAAUAACAGAAAAAAGUGUGGUAUGUGGUGCAAACAAAGAUGAUCAUACUACCUGUAGAGAAGAACUGAACAAUGUUAUGGAAGGAAAACAAGAUGAGACUGCUGUUACAGAGGGAGAGAGAUUAGAGUCCUGUUUACCAGUGAAUGAUGUAAUGGAGAGAGAAAAUGAUGUCAACUUACCCAGCUUUGAAGAUGGCAAUGAUGUUACACUAGAAAUGGAACCUGCUAAACUGAGAACCCUAGAUACUAGAGAUGAUGUAUCACAGGAAAGCCAGAUUUCAGACUUACCAGUUUCAAAUAUCAGAAGUAAAGGACAUUCUGAAGAAACUAGAGAAACAAAGAACAAAGAAGUGUAUGACUUACAUAGACCAGAUGAAAAGCAGAGUACAUCAGAAAGCCAUUCUCAGUCUGAAAUCAUGAAAACUGAAAUGCUAGCAGGCAUAAGGUGCUUGCAAAGACCUAAACCGAAUUUAGUGAGAACAUCUGUGAAG